rnacentral:lncRNA from 1 species
GUUUCCCUUCCCGGGAAUUCCCGGAGCUCCCUCGGCCUCAUCCCGGGAAAUCAAAACUGGAAAAAUCCCAUCGGGAUCGGCUCCCUGUCCCCAAACCCUCGGGAAUUCCCGAAGGAAAUCCCGAAUUUCAGGAUGGGAUUGAGCGGUGGGGGCUCGGGAAGAGCCGGAAUUCCCAAAAUCCCCCCCAGGACGCGGCUCCAGCUCCUCAAAAACGGGGUUUUUCCAAGGGAAACUGAGGCCGGGAGAAUCCAUGGGAAAAAAAAUAAUAAAAAAAAAUUAAAAAAUAAAAAAGCUGGAAAUGAGAGGAAAAAAACGCCAGGAAAAGCAGAUUUUAUGGAUGUUGGGAAAAUUCUUUAUUUUGGGGUGAGAAGCGCCGGAAUUGGGCAAAACCCAGAGGAUCCGGGAUGGGAAAAUCCAGGGGGAUCCUGGCACUGCCCAGCUGCUCCAGGGGGAGUUUUGGGUUGAAAAAGGAGAUUUUUGGGAAAAUCCUGGUCACACAUGGGAGUCAGGAGGAAAAUCUCCCUCGCCAGCCCCAAUUUCCCCGGUUUUAGCCCCAAAUCCCUCGGGAAACGACACCAGGAGAGACAAAAACUUGAAUUUAUUUUCACCUUCAUCAUCAUAAAUUUGGGGCAAAAAGUUUGGGAAAAGGGUCAGAGCCGGAGCUUCGUGUUUUCCUGGGAAGCAGCAGCGCCAGGAGCCCGUAAUUAAUUGGUUUUGCGCUAAUUAACUCUAAUGAGGGCGAGGGGUGACGCCAGGACGGGGAGGAUCCCGUGCCUGGAUUCCCAAAUUCCCUUUUCUCAGGGGUGAAAUUCCUCCGUGUGCCGAAACAUCGGGGGGUUCACCAAAAUUCCAGGAAUUUUCACCAAAAUUCCAGGAGUUCUCACCAAAAUUCCAGGAGUUUUCACCAAAAUUCCAGAUGUUUUCACCCCAAUUCCAGGAAUUGUUUUCACCCCAAAUCCAGGAGUUUCUCCCCAAUUCCAGAUGUUUUCACCCCAAUUCCAGAUGUCUUCUCCCCAAUUCCAGGAAUUGUUUUCACCCCAAUUCCAGAUGUUUUCUCCCCAGUUCCAGAUGUUUUCUCCCAAUUCCAGAUGUUUUCUCCCCAGUUCCCGCUCCUGCCGGAGCCAGCUCAGAUCCUCACCACCUGGGCGGCCACGCAGGGGCUGCUCCGGGGCUCGGCCCCGGAAUUGGGAUUGUUCCCGGGAUUUUCCCUGGGAUUGUUCCCUGGGCUGUUCCCAGGAUUGUUCCCAGGCUCAUUCCCGGGAUUCUCCCCGGGAUUCUCCCCGGGACUGUCCCGGUGCCGCUCUCUCCGCAGCAGCAGCCGCCCGUAGGUGCCCCCGGCCCGGCCCUUGGUCAGACGGCCGGGAUUGACACAGACACAGCCCAGGACGUCCUGCGGGGAACGGGAACCGGGGAACAGGAACCGGGAACCGGGGAUGGGAAUCAGGGAAUGGGAAUCAGGGAAUGGGGAAUCAGGGGAUGGGGAUGGGGACAGGUGUUGAAAAUCCAUGGAUUCAGCGGAACCAGGAGCCCACAGGAACCCAGAUCCCAAAAUUCGCCAUUUCCAGAGGAUUGGGGUCCCUCCAGCCCAGCCCCGACCCCCAGCUCCAAUCCUGACCCCAAUCCUGGCUCCAAUCCCAAUCCCUGCUCCAAUUCCAAUCCCAAUCCCACACCAAUCCCAUUCCCACCCCGUUCCUAUUCCCAUUCCCAUUCCCCCAUUCCCACCCUGUUCCCAUUCUAUUCCCAUGCCGUUCCCAUCCCCGUUCCCAUCCCAAUCCCGUUCCCAUUCCCAUCCCCAUUCCCCCAUUCCCAUUCUCCUGUUCCCACCCCAUUCCCAUUCCCGUUCCCAAUCCCAUUCCCAUUCCCCCAUUCCCAUUCCCCCAUUCCCAUUCCAUUCCCAUUCCUGUUCCCACCCCAUCCCCAUCCCCAUCCCAAUCCCGUUCCCAUUCCCCCAUUCCAUUCCCACCCCGUUCCCAUUUCCCCAUUCCCAUCCCCAUUCCCGUUCCCAUCCCAUUCCCAGUUCCCAUUCCCAUCCCCCCAUUCCCAUCCCAUUCCCCCCAUUCCCAUCCCAUUCCCCCAUUCCCAUCCUGUUCCCAUCCCAUUCCCAUCCCGUUCCCAUUCCCAUUCCAUUCCCCCAUUCCCAUUCUCAUUCCAUUCCCAUCCCCAGUCCCAUUCCCAUCCCCAUUCCCGUUUCCCGUUCCCGUUUCCCGUUCCCAUUCCCAUUUCCCAUUCCCAUUCCUGUUCCCACCCCAUUCCCAUCCCCAUUCCCAUCCCCAUCCCCAUUCCCGUUUCCCAUCCCCAUUCCCAAUCCCAUUCCCAUCCCCAUUCUCCCAUCCCCAUUCCCAGUUCCCAUUCCCAUUCCCAUUCCCGUUCCCAUUCCCCCGUUCCCGUUCCCGUUCCCCCGUUCCCAUUCCCAUUCCCAUUCCCACCCCAUCCCCGUUCCCGUUCCCACCUUGAGGAAGAAGCGCAGCUCCGAGGGCGUCACCAGCACGUCCGGGGUCACCGGCAGCGCCGGCAGCGCCUCCAGGUGAACGUUCAGCUCCUCCGAGGGCGGGAACAGCG